rnacentral:rRNA from 1 species
UCGAGCGGUAACAGAAAGUAGCUUGCUACUUUGCUGACGAGCGGCGGACGGGUGAGUAAUGCUUGGGAACAUGCCUUGAGGUGGGGGACAACAGUUGGAAACGACUGCUAAUACCGCAUAAUGUCUACGGACCAAAGGGGGCUUCGGCUCUCGCCUUUAGAUUGGCCCAAGUGGGAUUAGCUAGUUGGUGAGGUAAUGGCUCACCAAGGCAACGAUCCCUAGCUGGUUUGAGAGGAUGAUCAGCCACACUGGAACUGAGACACGGUCCAGACUCCUACGGGAGGCAGCAGUGGGGAAUAUUGCACAAUGGGCGAAAGCCUGAUGCAGCCAUGCCGCGUGUGUGAAGAAGGCCUUCGGGUUGUAAAGCACUUUCAGUCAGGAGGAAAGGGUGUGAGUUAAUACCUCAUAUCUGUGACGUUACUGACAGAAGAAGCACCGGCUAACUCCGUGCCAGCAGCCGCGGUAAUACGGAGGGUGCGAGCGUUAAUCGGAAUUACUGGGCGUAAAGCGUACGCAGGCGGUUUGUUAAGCGAGAUGUGAAAGCCCCGGGCUCAACCUGGGAACUGCAUUUCGAACUGGCAAACUAGAGUGUGAUAGAGGGUGGUAGAAUUUCAGGUGUAGCGGUGAAAUGCGUAGAGAUCUGAAGGAAUACCGAUGGCGAAGGCAGCCACCUGGGUCAACACUGACGCUCAUGUACGAAAGCGUGGGGAGCAAACGGGAUUAGAUACCCCGGUAGUCCACGCCGUAAACGAUGUCUACUAG